CCUACGGGGGGCUGCAGUGAGGAAUAUUGGUCAAUGGCCGGAAGGCUGAACCAGCCAAGCCGCGUGAAGGACGAAGGUGCCAAGCAUUGUAAACUUCUUUUGUCAAGGGACAAAAUCAGGCUCGAGAGCCUGACCGAGGGUACUUGAAGAAAAAGCAUCGGCUAACUCCGUGCCAGCAGCCGCGGUAAUACGGAGGAUGCGAGCGUUAUCCGGAUUUAUUGGGUUUAAAGGGUGCGUAGGCGGACUGUUAAGUCAGCGGUAAAAGCCCGGGGCUCAACCCCGGCGAGCCGUUGAAACUGGCUGUCGUGAGGUUUCGAGAGGUAUGCGGAAUGCGCAGUGUAGCGGUGAAAUGCUUAGAUAUUGCGCAGAACUCCGAUUGCGAAGGCAGCAUACCGGCGGCGAUCUGACGCUGAGGCACGAAAGCGUGGGUAUCGAACAGGAUUAGAUACCCGUGUAGUC
rnacentral:rRNA from 1 species